UACAGAGGGUGCAAACGUUGCUCGGAAUUACUGGGCGUAAAGCGCGUGUAGGUGGUUUUGUAAGUCGGGUGUGAAAGCCCAGGGCUCAACCCUGGAAGUGCACACGAUACUGCGAAGCUUGAGUACUGAAGAGGAGAGCGGAAUUCCCGGUGUAGAGGUGAAAUUCGUAGAUAUCGGGAGGAACACCAGUGGCGAAGGCGGCUCUCUGGGCAGAUACUGACACUGAGACGCGAAAGCGUGGGUAGCAAACAGG
rnacentral:rRNA from 1 species